UACGGAGGGGGGCUAGCGUUGUUCGGAAUUACUGGGCGUAAAGCGCACGUAGGCGGCUUUGUAAGUUAGAGGUGAAAGCCCAGGGCUUAACCCUGGAAUUGCCUUUAAGACUGCAUCGCUAGAAUCGUGGAGAGGUGAGUGGAAUUCCGAGUGUAGAGGUGAAAUUCGUAGAUAUUCGGAAGAACACCAGUGGCGAAGGCGACUCACUGGACACGUAUUGACGCUGAGGUGCGAAAAGCGUGGGGGAGCAA
rnacentral:rRNA from 1 species